rnacentral:rRNA from 1 species
GAUGAACGCUGGCGGCGUGCCUAAUACAUGCAAGUCGAGCGAACAGACGAGGAGCUUGCUCCUCUGACGUUAGCGGCGGACGGGUGAGUAACACGUGGAUAACCUACCUAUAAGACUGGGAUAACUUCGGGAAACCGGAGCUAAUACCGGAUAAUAUAUUGAACCGCAUGGUUCAAUAGUGAAAGACGGUUUUGCUGUCACUUAUAGAUGGAUCCGCGCCGCAUUAGCUAGUUGGUUAGGUAACGGCUUACCAAGGCAACGAUGCGUAGCCGACCUGAGAGGGUGAUCGGCCACACUGGAACUGAGACACGGUCCAGACUCCUACGGGAGGCAGCAGUAGGGAAUCUUCCGCAAUGGGCGAAAGCCUGACGGAGCAACGCCGCGUGAGUGAUGAAGGUCUUCGGAUCGUAAAACUCUGUUAUUAGGGAAGAACAAAUGUGUAAGUAACUAUGCACGUCUUGACGGUACCUAAUCAGAAAGCCACGGCUAACUACGUG